ACUCAAAAGGGAAUAGACGGGGAACCCGCACAAGCGGUGGAGCAUGUGGUUUAAAUUCGAAGAUACGCGAAGAACCUUACCUAGACUUGAAAAUCCUUGGAAUCCUGUAGAGAUACGGGAGUGCUAGUUUACUAGAACCAAGUGACAGGUGCUGCACGGCUGUCGUCAGCUCGUGUCGUGAGAUGUUGGGGUUAAGUCCCGCAACGAGCGCAACCCUCGUGAUUAGUUGCUAACAGUUCGGCUGAGCACUCUAAGCAGACUGCCUUCGUAAGGAGGAGGAAGGUGAGGACGACGUCAAGUCAUCAUGGCCCUUAUGUCUAGGGCUACACACGUGCUACAAUGGUUGGGACAAAGAGCAGCGAUACCGCGAGGUGGAGCAAAUCUUAAAACCCAAUCUCAGUUCGGAUUGGAGUCUGCAACUCGACUCCAUGAAGCUGGAAUCGCUAGUAAUCGUAGAUCAGCAAUGCUACGGUGAAUACGUUCCCGGGUCUUGUACUCAC
rnacentral:rRNA from 1 species